rnacentral:rRNA from 1 species
GACGAACGCUGGCGGCGUGCUUAACACAUGCAAGUCGAACGGAAAGGCCCUGCUUUUGUGGGGUGCUCGAGUGGCGAACGGGUGAGUAACACGUGAGUAACCUGCCCUUGACUUUGGGAUAACUUCAGGAAACUGGGGUUAAUACUGGAUAGGAGCUCCUGCUGCAUGGUGGUGGUUGGAACGUUGCGGUGGUUGGGGAUGGACUCGCGGUUUACCAGCUUGUUGGUGGGGUAGUGGCCCACAAGGGCUUUGGCGGGUAGCCGGCGUGAGUGGGAGACCGGCCACAUGGGGACUGAGAUGCGGCCCAGACUCAUACGGGGGGCAGCAGGGGGAAAUUUUGCACAAGGGGCGGAAGCCUGAUGCAGCAGCGCCGCGUGGGAGAUGACGGCCUUCGGGUGGAAACCCGCUUACGCCUGUGACGAAGCGUUGGGAACGGAAAUGGAGAAGGAGAAACGGGUAAACUACGG